AACGAACGCUGGCGGCAGGCUUAACACAUGCAAGUCGAACGGGCGUAGUAAUACGUCAGUGGCGCACGGGUGAGUAACGCGUGGAUAUCUGCCUUUUGGUUCGGGAUAACCUUGGGAAACUAGGGCUAAUACCGAAUGGUUCCUACGGGAUAAAGAUUUAUCGCCAAAAGAUGAGUCCGCGUCCGAUUAGCUAGUUGGUGAGGUAACGGCUCACCAAGGCGACGAUCGGUAGCUGGUCUGAGAGGAAGGUCCCCCACAUUGGAACUGAGACACGGCCCAGACUCCUACGGGAGGCAGCAGUGGGGGAUAUUGCACAAUGGGGGAAACCCUGAUGCAGCAACGCCGCGUGAAGGAAGACGGUCUUCGGAUUGUAAACUUUUGUUCUUAGUGAAGAAACAUGACGGUAGCUAAGGAGAAAGCCACGGCUAACUACGUG
rnacentral:rRNA from 1 species